rnacentral:rRNA from 1 species
GACCUGGUACGGUGGUCCGCCUUCACGGUGUGUACUGCUGGACCGGGUUCUACCUCUUGGUGAGCCGGCAUGCCCUUCACUGGGUGUGUCGGGGAACCAGGACUUUUACCUUGAGAAAAUUAGAGUGUUCAAAGCAGGCAUGUGCCGGAAUAAUUGCGCUGGGAAUAAUGGAAUAGGACC